rnacentral:rRNA from 1 species
CCUACGGGAGUCAGCAGUGGGGAAUAUUGCACAAUGGGGGAAACCCUGAUGCCGCGACGCCGCGUGAGUGAAGAAGUAUUUCGGUAUGUAAAGCUCUAUCAGCAGGGACGAAAAUGACGGUACCUGAUUCAGAAGCCCCGGCUAACUACGUGCCAGCAGUCGCGGUAAUACGUAGGGGGCAAGCGUUAUCCGGAUUUACUGGGUGUAAAGGGAGCGUAGACGGCAGCACAAGUCUGGAGUGAAAUGCCGGGGCUUAACCCCGGAACUGCUUUGGAAACUGUGCAGCUAGAGUGCAGGAGAGGUAAGUGGAAUUCCUAGUGUAGCGGUGAAAUGCGUAGAUAGUAGGAGGAACACCAGUGGCGAAGGCGGCUUACUGGACUGUAACUGACGUUGAGGCUCGAAAGCGUGGGGAGCAAACAGGAUUAGAUACCCUAGUAGUC